GAAUCUUGGACAAUGGGGGAAACCCUGAUCCAGCCAUGCCGCGUGUGUGAAGAAGGCCUUCGGGUUGUAAAGCACUUUAAGUUGGGAGGAAGGCCUUGCAGCUAAUAUCUGUGAGGAUUGACGUUACCAACAGAAUAAGCACCGGCUAACUCCGUGCCAGCAGCCGCGGUAAUACGGAGGGUGCAAGCGUUAAUCGGAAUUACUGGGCGUAAAGCGCGCGUAGGCGGUUAGAUAAGUCGGAUGUGAAAGCCCCGGGCUCAACCUGGGAACUGCAUUCGAUACUGUCUGACUAGAGUAUGAGAGAGGGAGGUAGAAUUCCACGUGUAGCGGUGAAAUGCGUAGAUAUGUGGAGGAAUACCGGUGGCGAAGGCGGCCUCCUGGCUUAAUACUGACGCUGAGGUGCGAAAGCGUGGGGAGCAAACAGG
rnacentral:rRNA from 1 species